AUUCCUUGAGUCGUAAAUCCCCUUUCAUUUAAAGUGGAAAACUUAGGCAUUGAAAACACAUCAGAAAAAUAUAAUUACUUAUCUUUCCAUUUAUUCUCUCAAUAAUUUCUUAUCUCUUCAGAUUUUUGAAACAUGAUAUAUGACUUGUUCUCCACUUAAAAAAUACAGUUAACAUCGCAACAACAUCUUUUAACAUCUAUAUAUAGUAACUAACAUCUCAACUAACAAUCAAUCAUAAAUUUAUAAAUUCCAAAUACACGAAGGGGUGUCUGGAACAAUUAAAACACGCCAUAAGUGAGGCUUCGAUGCAUUUAUUUACGACCAAAAUAAUAAAAUACAUGAUCAAUGUAUAUGUUAUUGUAUAUAUGAGAAGUGGGUCAGUAUUCAAGUUGGUAUCACCUUAAAAGUGGAACUAAAAAAAUCAAGAGAUGAGUUUUCAUAAAAAAAAACUAUUUUUCUAUAAAUCUCAUCCCAAAAUCUUUUACCCACUUAAAGGAUAUACUAAAAUAACUAUAUAUAUGAUACCUAUGCAAAUGAAACCUCAAAUAUAUAAUAAUAUAAUAUAAUGGAUAUAAAUAGACUUAGUUAUCCCUCAUUGACUUGAAUAAUUAAUAUUGCAUUCUAUUAUUGUGCUCUAUCUUAAUAAAAGCAUCAGCUUCUUGGUCCACGCUUGCAAAAGCAUGAUGAUCACCAUUCCUAGCACGUUGGUAACGUUGCAAAGUGCUCUCACCCUCUUGCUUUGAAUACCUUUCUUUUACUUCUUCAGCCAUGGUUUCAUCGUAGUUUGUUAUGUAUGACACAUGAACCUUCUUAUGAUGAUGGUGCCUUUGAUUUAAAGGCUCUACUUUGGGUUCUUGAACUUGGUACUCGCUGUAAGAGUUGGUGAACCAAUAUGCCAUUUUCUAACUCUUUGAAUGUGCUUGAGGUUGUGUUACAAGUUUUAUCUUAAUUUCAG
rnacentral:lncRNA from 1 species